AGUGCAAAAAACAGUGUCUCGUAAAAAC
rnacentral:piRNA from 1 species